UUGAACCCCUGACUGGCGAGUUCGACUAACAUUUUUUGCCUUUUUCUUUCGAUGAUUUCUUUUUCACUCGAGGAGCUGUUGUUUGUGAGGACUGUAAAUUUAGUUUUACUCAUACAGUAGCCGCGAUUCCAGCCGAGGAGCGACAAUGGUGGAGCUAAUAUGGUUCAGAGUCCUCUUAACGACUAUCUUGUUUUGGAAGAAAGAAGAAAUGGAAGAGAUGCUUUGAAAGUGAGGCAGCUGACAAGACAGACUUCAGUAAGAAUCCUCAGCGUUAAUCAAGAAAGUCCUCAGCUCACCUCAUCUAGAGUGGGAAUCAUCUUGGAAGAAAGCUUGGUAAUGGAUGAACUGACCAAUCUCAGGCCUUCUAUGUCCAUUGUUUUCAGACUGAUUUCCCUGCCUGCACCUGGACUAUCUUAAGUGUAUGAAAAGCAUUUUAUAUUUUUUUUUUCGGGAAAAGGUGAGCUGACACCUAAAAUUCAGUAUUGCCAAUAGUGUGAACUCAGAGUGGGGAAAAAACAUAUCGUUUUGAUGCUGUUUGUUGCGAUUCUGAGAAAGACUUGUUUGUGUGCUUAACGAUAAGUUAAUUUGUUGAACUAGUAUCUUUUUGAACUUUUUUUUUUUUUUCUCCCAUGUUUUAUGGGGAAAUGUUUUCAGGAUAUGAAAAAAUGGUUUUGUUGUGUUUUCAAUUUAAUAUUUGUAUUUGUAUUGAUUUAAAA